AGGAUCUCCAAUCAGGGUUCCUGUCUGUGUGGGGUUUUCUAUAUGAGCCUAGAUCUUCAGAGGUAGAAAAUUCUUCUGAAAAUUAAAUUGCUUCUCAAGAAGCAGUACCCAAAGCUGUCUGCAGCACUCCUACUGAAGCCUUACCUGUUCUGAGUAGUGAAGAGUUAUCUCAGUGAUUUUUAUGUGCUACGUUCCUGUUUCUGCAUUCAAGUAGAGAUGUUGUCUUUCUUGCAAGCGUAACAUUAUUGACUCUUACUUAGUCUCCUAGUCAACCUCUUAGAUCUCUUUCUGUGAAACCAAUGUUCCUACGUGUAAAUGUUUCUGGAAAACAGUUUUCAAUGGGUUGUGCUAAAAAUCUAAACAGUUAUUGACUGUAAAACUAAAAAGGGUUGUGUUUAUAGAACUUAAGACAAAGAAAGUAAAAGAAAAAAAAAAGGUGGUAAGCACACCACUUUUGAACUUAUCCUGCUCACGUACUCAUGCUGAACACUUCCUUAUUUGCUUACAGUGAUGUCAUGCUUUAUGUUAGAAUUUCUCUCUAGCAUCAUUUUAGAUGACUUGGUUUGCAUGAGGAUGUUGCUACAAAACAAAAUCUAGUUUCCCUCUAACAAAAAAAAAAA